UACGUAGGGGGCAAGCGUUGUCCGGAUUUAUUGGGCGUAAAGAGCGUGUAGGCGGCCAGGUAGGUGGGUUGUGAAAACUGGAGGCUCAACCUUCAGAGGUCGACCCAAAACCCCCCUCGGCUAGAGGUCCGGAAGAGGAGAGUGGAAUUCCUGGGUGUAGCGGUGAAAUGCGCAGAUAUCAGGGAAGGAACACCUAUGGCGAAGGCAGCACUCUGGGACGGUACUGGACGCUGAGACGCGAAAGCGUGGGGAGCGAACAGG
rnacentral:rRNA from 1 species